rnacentral:lncRNA from 10 species
UUUCUUAACAUAUUAAAGAACAUGAAAUUUAAGAAUGAUCAAAACUAGUAAUAACACAGUAUGAGGAAAAUGAGAUAUGAAAUAGAGUAUACUCAUCCGUCAGCCUGAAUGGUUAAAACCAUUCAUAUUUUAUAAAGAUAAUUUCUUCAAAAGUUCUUAAAAUCUGCGCUGACCUCAUUAUCAACACCAAUUCACUCCUCACAGUAUCUGGGCUGUCUAAUAUGGCAGCCAGUAGCCAUACAUGGACAGUAAGUACCUGAAAUGUGCUCAGUUCCGACUGAGAUGUGUCACAGUGUAAGUAUGACAAAUGUACAAAUAUCAACAAUAUCCAUCACAUGUUGAAAUAACAUUUUGGACAUACUGAGCUAAAUUAAGUAUAUUAAUUUCACUUAUUUCUUUUUACUUAAUAUGCCUACUGGAAAAAUCUAAAAUUACAUUAGGUUAUAUUUUUAGUUUUUUUUUUUUUUUGAGACCUCAGCCUCCCACUUUUGUAGAGACAGGGUUUCGCUGUGUUGCCCAGGUUGUUCUGGAGCUCCUGAGCUCAAGUGGUCCUCUCACCUUGGGUCCCAAAGUGCUGGGAUUCUAGGCGUGAGCCACUGCACCAGGCCAGAUUGUUUUACUUCACAGCUUCCACAUUGGUCUUGCCCAUUCUCCCUCUAAGGAAAUCUCCCAUGUGCGUCCUCUUCAUCUCAUCUACUCUGCGCCUUGGCUGGUCUUCCCAUUUCUACUCCCUUACCACCCCUCCCACUUCACAGAACAGCAGGAGGAUGGAAGCCAGGAUCAGCACACUACAGACCAGGGGCCAAAUUUGGCCUACAGCCUGUUUUGGUUUUGUACAGUCUAUGAGCUAAAAAUGUUUUUUUCAUCUUUAAGUGGUUGGAAAAAGAAACAGUAUUUCAUGAUACUGAAAAUCAGAUGAAGUUCAAGUGUUAUAUCCAUAAAUAAAGUUUUACUAGCACACAGCCACACCCACUCGUUGAUGUAUUGUCUGUGGCUGCUUCCGUCCUACAAAGGCAAAGUAGAAUAGCUGCAAGAGAGGCUACAUGGCCUGCCCUGCAAAGCUUGAGAUAUUUACUAUCUGGCCUUUUACAGAACAAGUCUGCCAGUCCCUGGUAUAGAUCAUCGUCUUAUUUGUUGCUUAAAACCCUUCAGUCACUUCCCACAGUUUCUAGGAAAAAGUCUAAAACUUUUCACAGAGCAGACAAAACUGUUCUUGAAGGACAGUUGGCAAACACAUGAGUCCCGACCUCUCUCAUUACUCACACCUCACCCUUCUCAUUCACUCAGUGAGCCACACUGCCUUUCCUUUAAAGACAAUUCUCCCACCACCCCCAUCCCCACUUGAUGAUCAAGUUAGCCCUGCCUUUGAUUAUUUCUCUCAAACACCUAUCCCAACUGUAUUUAAGUAACAAUCGUGUAGUAGCUGAUUAAAGACUGCCUGCUCUGGAGCCACUGCCUGAGUUCAAAAUCCUGGCUUUGUCACUUAACAACAGUUUGACAUUGGGCAAGUCACAUAAACUUUUUGUACUUCAGUUUCCUUAUCUGCAAAAUAGGUGUAACAACUGCACCUACCCGAGUUUAAAGGCUAUUAAUACAUGUGCAUUAAGAUUGUACCCCAUAACAGUAAAUGCUUCAAAAGCACCAACAAUUAUUAUUCUCAGUAGCAGGAACAAGUUCCUGUGGCUCUCAACUAGACUGAAGCUCCUUGAGGGCAAGGAUUAUAACUGUCCUAGCUUUUGUGACUGGUACAAAGUAGAGCAUUUAUUCAAAUGCUUAAUGAACACCUAAUUUGAAUAACACAUAACACUCACAAACUGUCCUCUUCAACCAACAGUUGCAGUGAUUCAAUCUUUGGGGGCCUGGCCCAAAUGUUCUCUUUCAAACAAAUGC